UCGAAAGGUGCCUAACACCUUCCUUUCGAGGUAAUUUGAACCCUUACCCAAAUUUCUGGUGAACUAAGGCUAAAACAACAAAAUUGGUUCGUAGUUAGCCUAGACCGUUUUCCUAACGCACCUUAAUACAUUAGGUGACAACUAUUCACAAUCCUUCUUAAACAAUCCCAAAAGAGUGGUCAUAUCGAAUCCCGCUUUUCGCAAGAAAAAUGGGGCGCCACAUAGUGUAUAAAAUUUAUGAGGCCAUUUCCCCCAUCUGAAGAUAAGUGGUAUAUUUUUGUGGCUGUUGAUUACAUGUCAAAGUGGAUAGAAGCUGAAGCUUUUCCCACAAAUAAUGCAAGAGUAGUGAUGAAAUUUGUCAAGAAACAUAUCUUCUCUUACUUUAGCACACCUCGAGCAAGCAUUAGUGAUGAGGAACAUACUUCGUUAAUAAUUGGCUCAAGAAUUUUUUGGCCAAAUAUGGGGUUAGACACAAGCUAACCACAACAUAUCACCCACAGACUAGUGGUCAAGUAGAUGUGUCUAAUCGAGAGAUUAAGCAGAUCUUACAGAAGACGGUCAAUGGACUAUGUAAGGAUUGGUCGGCUAAGAUGGAUGAUGCAUUAUGGGCAUAUAGGACAGCCUAUAAAAUGCCUAUUGGGACCGUUUGUAUCUCUUGGUCUAUGGCAAAGCUUGUCACCUACCAGUAGAACCUGAGCAUCAGGCAUAUUGGGUUGUGAGAAAGUUAAAUCUUGAUCCAGAUAUUUCAAGGAAUAAGAGAAUGUUACAGUUGGAUGAGCUUGAUAAUUUUCGCUUACAUGCAUAUGAGAAUGCAAAGUUGUACAAGGAGAAAAUAAAAGAAGGCGUGAUAACCAGAUUGUGAAUCGAGUCUUUGAGCCAAGCCAACAGGUAUUGUUGUUCAAUUUUAAAUGGAAGCUGUUUCCAGGCAAGCUGAGGUCUAAGUGGUCUGGACCAUUUAAAGUGGUAGGAAAGACCUCUCAGAAGGUUGCUGAACUAUAGAGUUAGGACAAAUGCAAAACAUUAAUGGUGUGAACAGAGAGUCAAGCAUUAUUGGGUGAAUCAUGGAGAUUAGCACAGAACGUCCAUCAUCUUUGAAGAUGAAUGAAGCUGAAUUAGGUCAUGCCACGGCGUAAAAUAAGGCAUUGCGUGGAAGGCAACCCACGAAUGUAAUGUAAUAUUUUAGUUUAUUUCUUUGUUGUUUGAAAAAGAAAAGAAAGAAAAAAAGAGAGAUAAAAGAAUUAAAAAAUACAAAAAGAUAUGUCGUGCCACGACCAAAAGUAAGGCACCGGGUGGGAGGCAACCCACUUUUACUUACGUAUUCUUAUUGUCUUUUUUGAGAAUUCAAGAAUGAGAAAACUCAUGGGAAAAGGUAAGAAUUAGAAGUGAGUGAAUUUUACGUUUUGGGAAGCUAUCAGGUAUGUAAAAGAUGUUUAAAUUGAUGAAAAGUGAAAGCACAAAAAGGGGGGACAAAAAUCCCACAAAGCACACAAGACAGUGGCUUCUUGCAAUAGCUAGGCGUCACGGACCUUAGUCCUCACGAUAAGGUUCGCAUAGUGCCAAGGGGUAUACAACCAUAUGCGAUUUCCAGAUAGCAUCUGUGAUGGGCCUGCGUGGCGGUGGGUAUCACAUAGACUUAGUCCCGUACUGCGGAGACCCUACACACUCGGGUUGUAACUGACCCAAUCCCUCUGACCCGACAUUCCCCUUUAAAUACUCCUCUAUGUACCAUUUCUUAUCCACCUCUAAACCUAAUUUGCGUCGCCCCUCCAUACCCAAAAUUCUCCUUAUCCUUCUAAAGUGCUAAGCUUAUUCGUGGAAGGAAGUUCUUUCUACUCUCUCCUAAAAAAGGACUCGGGUACUAUGUCUAGCCAUCAACAAAAUGGAAAGGAUUUUGCUGGGCCAUUUGAGCCCUCACGAAAGAGGAGCAAACCAACUGGUAGAGUGCCUAGACCUUCUUCUAUCUAAACAGGCAAACUAGAAAAUACAGGUCUAGAUAGGUUAUAGAAGCAAGGAAGAAAUGGUACGCCAAGUGCAAUGAGACAAAAUAUGCUCUAGAAUAAUUCAUCAACUGGGCAAGCCUUCUAAGAGAGUAUCCCAGCAUGGUACGAUGAAUAGAAUGGCUGCACAUGACCUCCUUGUUCUAGUGCCCAUGGAGUGCAACCUGUACAUGCUUAGGGAAUUCUAUGCUAAUUGGGACCCAGGUAUUGAGACUCUGAGGUAAGGAUCAGAGGUCAAGUGGUGAAUUUUACAGCUCAUGAUUUGAAUGUUCUUUUAGGUACACCGGAGGUAGAUGCAAAACCACUGAAGCAGCUGAACAUCACACCGCCCUAUGUAGACAUCUAACAUUUAUUAUGUGGAAAUCAUUCUGCCGCCUGAUGAACUCAUCACAAAGACAGUGUCCUCCAUCUCACAUUCCCUUAUGCCCAAAUGAAUAGGAAGUCCUACAUGUAGAGAAAUAUUAUCUACCAUUGCCUGAUUCAGGGCAAGCAUAUGACUGAUGUGAUGCGUAAUAGGGGUGCAGCCGCGCAGGUACGGAUUUGGUGGGUUACUGACCAAGUUUCUGAGGAAUUAGGGAGUUGUGGAGGAGGCACUUGACUACAGUCCAGUGGUAGACACCUACUCUAUUGAUACAUCCAGGACUAAGGGUCUGACGGUGGCUCAGAGGCCGGUAUUGACUAUGCCCGAGCAUCAGGCUCAGAAUGAUGAGAUUAUAGCCCGGAUGUAUGGGUUACAGAUGCUACAGCUGUGAGUAGGGGUAGACCAGCGACACCUGAGGAGAUUCGUGUUGUUGAGCAGGAUUACCCUCUUGGUCACCAUGCCAGGACUAUGCUGUAGAUUGGACUAGAGUUUGUAGAGCCUCUGGAUUACAAUGUGCCCACUGAAGAGGAGAUGAGGAUGUAUGAUUCUAACAUGGAGUUAGACGAGAAUAAGGAUGCAGGCGAUCCAAAUUUUAGGGCAGCGACCCUUGGUCCAAAGACCGAUGAUGACAUGGAUGAUGCAUGGUCACAGAGUUGUUACACUACCUCAUUACUUGGUCUUAUUUGCAAGCACUAGGAUAGUGCUUCAUUUUAAGUGUGGGGUAGUGGUUCUCAUUCCUCCUACCUUCAUUUUCUUUAUUUUUGUGUUUUAUCUUUUUGGAUUUUGUAUUUGAUGUGGUCUGUAAUAGUUAGUAUUGAUGAUAUUUGAUAUGGGUAGUUCAUAGUUAUUAGUA